GAAAUGCGAUACGUAGUGUGAAUUGCAGAAUUCCGUGAACCAUCGAAUCUUUGAACGCAUAUUGCGCCCAAGACCUCGGUCGAGGGCAUGUCUGCCUCAGCGUCGGUAUAAACCCAUCGCUUUCCCUCCUUGUUAACCAAGGGGGUCGGCCCAUCACUUGCUGGUGGGCUUGGAAGCGGAUGUGGCUUUCCCACGUUUCGUGCGUGGGUUGGCUGAAAAGCAGAGGCUAGAGCUAGGACCCAUCAUGGGCUCAACUGGAUAGGUAGACCUGGCGCCUAACGGCACCUCCUACACGAAGUUGUGGCUUGUGGUCCUUGGUUGGCGGCCUGCAGGAAACGUGCUUGUGUGCGUGUUGGAGCUUCUGCUUCCACCGCCUCAGCCGUCUACUAUUCGACCUGAG
rnacentral:misc_RNA from 1 species